rnacentral:rRNA from 1 species
GACGAACUGUCCUAACGUUGUUCGGAAUCACUGGGCUUAAAGGGCGCGUAGGCGGUCGAACAAGUCAGGGGUGAAAUCCUGCAGCUUAACUGUAGAAGUGCCUUUGAUACUGUUCGUCUUGAGGGAAAUAGGGGUGUGCGGAACUUCCAGUGGAGCGGUGAAAUGCGUUGAUAUUGGAAGGAACGCCGGAGGCGAAAGCGGCGCACUGGAUUUCUUCUGACGCUGAGGCGCGAAAGCUAGGGGAGCAAACGGG